UACCAGCACCCCGAGUGGUCGGGACGAUUAUUGGGCCUAAAGCAUCCGUAGCCGGUUCUACAAGUCCUCCGUUAAAUCCAGCUGCUUAACAGAUGGGCUGCGGAGGAUACUAUAAGACUAGGAGGCAGGAGAGGCAAGCGGUACUCAGUGGGUAGGGGUAAAAUCCGUUGAUCCAUUGAAGACCACCAGUGGCGAAGGCGGCUUGCCAGAAUGCGCUCGACGGUGAGGGAUGAAAGCUGGGGGAGCAACCGG
rnacentral:rRNA from 1 species